rnacentral:rRNA from 1 species
GAUGAACGCUAGCGGCAGGCUUAACACAUGCAAGUCGAGGGGUAGAAGUUGCUUGCAACUUUGAGACCGGCGCACGGGUGCGUAACGCGUAUGCAAUCUACCUUAUACAGAGGGAUAGCCCAGAGAAAUUUGGAUUAAUACCUCAUAGUAUAAUUGAAUGGCAUCAUUUAAUUAUUAAAGUUCCAACGGUAUAAGAUGAGCAUGCGUCCUAUUAGCUAGAUGGUAAGGUAACGGCCUACCAUGGCAACGAUAGGUAGGGGUCCUGAGAGGGAGCUCCCCCGCACUGGUACUGAGACACGGACCAGACUCCUACGGGAGGCAGCAGUGAGGAAUAUUGGACAAUGGGCGCAAGCCUGAUCCAGCCAUGCCGCGUGCAGGAAGAAGCAUCUAUGGUGUGUAAACUGCUUUUGUACGGGAAGAAACACCCCUUCGUGAAGGGACUUGACGGUACCGUAAGAAUAAGGACCGGCUAACUACGUGCCAGCCGCCGCAGUAAUAC